CCUACGUGCGGCAGUAGUGGGGGAUAUUGCACAAUGGGGGAAACCCUGAUGCAGCGACGCCGCGUGUGGGAAGACGGUCCUCUGGAUUGUAAACCACUGUUCCCAGGGACGAAGAUGACGGUACCUGGGGUGGAAGCUCCGGCUAACUACGUGCCAGAAGCCGCGGUCAUACGUAGGGAGCGAGCUGUGUCCGGAAUUACUGGGUGUAACGGGAGCGCAGGAGGGACGGCAAGUUGGGUGUCAAAUCUACCGGCUCAACCGGUAGGCGCACUCAAAACUGCAGUUAUUGAGUGAGGUAGAGGCAGGCGGAAUUCGUAGUGUAGCGGUGAAAUGCGGAGAUAUUAGGCGGAACACCAGUGGCGAAGGCGGCCUGCUGGGCUUUUACUGACGCUGAGGCUCGAAAGUGUGGGGAGCGAACAGGAUUAGAUACCCCAGUAGUC
rnacentral:rRNA from 1 species